CACAUUUAUUACAACUUGAUUAAUCAUUUUUUGAAACCCCAGAAUUGUUUCCAUUGCCACAGAAAGCAAGGAAUAUCUAUAACUAAAUUUUCAUGGUGUCAUCCUCUCAUCAAAUUGCAUUUGUUUAGACAAGAUUGUUCUCUGGUUGUCACUUCAAUCAAGAAUGUGAUCCACAGAGGAAGAGAGAGCCAGAAAGCAAGCAAGCUCUCGCCUGAUAGUUAACUCGACGCAUGCUCGCAACAGCUGACCCAGAGCCGGGAACCCGGAACCACCUGCACUACCAUCACUCGUCGCUUCCCAGGAUGCACAUUAGCAAGAAACUGGGCUCUGGAGCAGAGCCAGCCAGCACUGGAACCCAGUCACCCCAACAUGUCAGUGGAUAUGGGUGUCUCAAGCAGUUCACUGCCAGGCCGACAUCCUGCUGCCAGGAGGGAAUGUUUAAGGAGUGUGACAAGGAGGAGCCACUGUAGGACAGUAGAACUCUGAAAGUGUGAUGGGAUGAUUGCUAAGACUAGCUCUGGGGUGAUCAGUUUUAAACCGAACAUUGAGCUUCUGAUACUGGAGUAGAACAAAGGUUUCAUCUCUUCCACUUUAAGAAAGUCAAUUCGCAUCUUGAAGAGAAUUCACAGAUGCUGCUAACACCUUGGUUGAUGAUUAAGCAUUGGUUCGAAUGUGUAUGAUAUGCUCAAGGAAACUAGAUUCAAAGAAGAAAGUAUUGUAUUCUUGAUAGUAUUUCUCAAUUUUAUCAUUUUCAGCAAAAUAUUUUCAUAUCAUAGUAUUCUCAUAGUUAGAAAAUUAUUAUUGUAAUAGUAAUUAAUAAUUCUAAAAGUAGCACAAGAAAAGCCAGAUAUGGUUUUGCAUGCUCAGUAGGAAAUGAUAUUUUAAAAUUCAUGGUAGACUACUUUUCUGGUGAAAUUAUGUAGUCUAUUUUUAGGGAGGUGGGUUUUGAAGUGACAUAUAUAGAUGAUGCAUUGGGUUAAAAAUUCAGUUAGAUAGUUUUCAUAUGUUGUGUAUAUCUUUAAAACUCUGAGAUUGCACUGCUACCGUUGGCCCACCAUGUGCCAUAUUCUGCCAUGUGACAUAUGGCCCAGCAUACAGAAAUACUCACCAAAAUCUAUGUCAGUGCCUGCAGAGAGUGAGAAAUUGUCCCUAUGGUGGAGCAAUGUUAGUAAA